CAAAACACAGGCAGGCAGACAAAUCUGGGGGUGGAUAAGUAGCGGGGAUCUCUUUUGCCGGGGCUUUUCUGAAAGCACCCGGGGGAGGGGAAAGGGGGAUUCACGAGAAGCCAGCCAGCCGCUGGAGGAGGAAGAGGAGGAGGCUGCACUGCGGAAUAACGGGAGCUAAAAGAGGAAGAGGUUUGUAGCUGCCGCCGCUGCUUGUCGCUAAUCCAGCAACUCAGUCACAAAGAUGGCUGCGUCGUCCUCUUGCAAUGUGGAAGACGACGAGAGCCUGAAGGGAUGCGAACGCUACGUUCAGAAGCAUAAUAUCCAGCAGAUUCUGAAAGAGUGCAUUGUCAACCUCUGUAUAGCAAAACCUGACCGGCCGAUGAAGUUCUUGCGAGAACAUUUUGAGAAACUGGAGAAGGAAGAAUGCAAACAGAUACUGGCUUGGCAGAAAUCCAACUCGCAAUCGGAUUCCCACGAUGACGAAAUUUCUCCUCCGCCUCCAAAUCCGGUGGUCAAGGCGCGGCACAGAAGGGGUGGAGUCAGUGCAGAAGUGUACACGGAAGAAGAUGCGGUUUCUUAUGUCAGGAAGGUUAUUCCCAAGGACUAUAAAACCAUGACUGCUCUGGCAAAGGCCAUCUCCAAGAACGUGCUCUUUGCUCACCUGGAUGAUAAUGAGAGAAGUGACAUAUUUGAUGCCAUGUUCCCUGUCACACACAUUGCUGGAGAGACUGUCAUACAACAGGGAGACGAAGGAGACAACUUCUAUGUGAUCGACCAAGGAGAAGUGGAUGUGUAUGUGAAUGGAGAAUGGGUCACCAGCAUUGGAGAAGGAGGAAGCUUUGGAGAACUUGCCCUCAUCUACGGAACGCCAAGGGCUGCAACGGUUAAAGCCAAGACAGACCUCAAGCUCUGGGGUAUCGACAGGGACAGCUACAGGCGCAUUUUAAUGGGCAGUACCCUGAGAAAGCGGAAAAUGUAUGAAGAAUUCCUCAGCAAGGUCUCCAUUUUGGAAUCUCUCGACAAAUGGGAGCGGCUGACUGUGGCAGAUGCGCUAGAACCCGUCCAGUUUGAAGACGGAGAAAAGAUAGUUGUUCAGGGAGAGCCAGGAGAUGACUUUUUCAUCAUCACAGAGGGCACAGCUUCCGUUCUCCAGCGCAGAUCUGACAACGAAGAGUAUGUGGAAGUCGGACGGCUUGGACCAUCAGAUUAUUUUGGAGAGAUAGCCCUAUUGCUCAACAGGCCCCGGGCUGCCACUGUGGUGGCUCGUGGGCCCCUGAAGUGUGUCAAGCUGGAUCGCCCUCGCUUCGAACGAGUCCUUGGUCCUUGCUCAGAAAUCCUCAAGAGGAACAUCCAGAGAUACAACAGUUUCAUUUCCCUCACUGUUUAAGUCCUUCCUGCUGGCUGCCUUUUAUGUUAAAAACUUGUGCACUUAAAUUUCGACCCAUGCCGUUCCAUAGCUUUUGAAGAAAACAAGAGACAUGUGUAUUUUAUGUAUAUUUUUUAAAUGAUCAUGUCAGGGGCACUAGAUAUCCAAUCAUUAUCUUGUGUUAGAAAAAAGGCAGUAGAGAGCUCGAUGGAAGUGGCUUUCGUGAACUAUUUGUAGGAUUUUUUAAAUUUAUUUUUUUCACAUCCUGAAUUACAUUCCUGGUUGCCCUGGUCAUGAAGCCUCUCGGAAUGCUAUUUUACACACUGAAAACCACACAUUUCAGCAUUUAUUUUACCUAAGUGUGCUGAACAGCUGGUCCUAUCUAUGUUUUGUCAAACUGUAAAACAAAGCACCUAAACCCACAACCACUUACUUAACUUGAAUAUUCAUCUUCAGAAGUCUUCUUAGGGGGAUUAGACAUUUCCUAAGACCCUCCCCCCCAACACAAAAAAUUUACAAAAUCCCCUUUUAACAUUUGUAAGAGUUGAUUAGCGAAUGGAGCCCAUAGUCCAACAAGGAGCAACAGGCACAUAAGCUCAUUGAAAUCACCAGGCUUAAGCUACAGAGAGAGUUGAAGGAUAUUCAAAGCAGAGACCAACACCAAAGCAGAUCUCCCUUUUAUGAAUAUCCCACCCUGAGUGUGCUCAUCUGUGCGAUAAGGUUUGUUUUCCCUUCCUUUUUGGACAUCCAACUCUGCCCUGAGAUCGGUGGCUCAAAAUAGCAACGUGGUGUAAGAAGUGGGUGGGACCUAAGUUUUGCUGCUCCACAUCAAAGCUUCUUCCUGCGUUCUUCCGCAGCUCCACAUGGCUCAGGAAUUUGGCACCAGUGGUCAGGGAGGCUGCUUUUGGCACAGUCACGUAGCAGGUGACUUGGGCAUGGCAAUGGGACACUGACACUGCCAGAACUGAAAUACUUUUGGGGGGCAAUUAUAUCUGUUACUCUGUUUCCUCUUCUGAAUCCAGCAUGUUAUUGAGGAAGACAUGUUACAACUGAGUUAGACUGUGGUUCUACCCAGCUACAUACCUUAUAGCCUCCUGUGACUGAAAGCUCCUGACACAAGAGACAUGACCAGAGUUCAAGGACACAGUCCGGCCAGGCAAAACCCUCCAACCUGGAUUUAGGAACAGAAGGAUUCCUGAAGGCAUUUUAUAUCACGGAAAGCAUUAUCCAUACAAAGAACAAAUUGUUCCUUAAAGCUUCAAGUCCUGUACUCACUUAUCUAGCACUCCUGACAAGAGGCUUGGUCUUGGAGCAUCAGCAGAGAAGCAACAGGCAGCAUCCUCUGAGAGAGAAUGAAUCUGCUAUUCACCAGGAGAAUGGGGAACGAUCUGAUGCAGAGGAAUCACCUACCCCACAGCCGAGGCUGAUGAAAAGGGAGGCAAAAUCUAGAACAGCAGCUCAUGCAGAGGGGCAACGGGUACCCUCCUCCACCGUGGAUGGUGUUUCUGGCUCACUGGAGCCCUUAAUGAAUUUAUUUCUCAUGGCGUAGCUUGGGAUCGCCUGCUCUACCAGCCUGCUAUUCCUAAUAAUAGAUCCCUUCAUGGCCUUUACUCCAACGCUGCCUGGAGCUGGCGUUAAACUCCUUUUCCUCCCUUCUUUCUGGCCUUUUCAAUUACUUUGUGUUUGCUUGAUCUGCUACCAGAAUAUACCCUGCGGUUCCCCCGUUUUAGCCUCUGCUAAACCCUUCAGUCCGCGUCCUCUCUGAUGACAAAAAGUAUGUGGAAUUGGCGAAAAUGGGAAAAUUCCUGUUCUCACAAUACUUGGAAAGAAUGAAAAACAUUUUCUGCUUCUCCUCCUCCUCCUCUUUUUUUCCAGAAAGUGAAAAGAAAUAACAGAAUAGCACAUCCAGUACUUUACGAAUGUAAAGGGACAGGAUGAGGAAUGGUCGCAGUCUCUCUUUGAUCUGACUGCGGCUUUUUGAAGCAUGUCCACAACUCGUCCCCACGGUCCAGUGAGAGAAAACACAUACAUCUGAGGGAAAACUGAGAACCGAGUACACUUCAUCCAUUUGAAGCACAGUUAAUGCAUGUGUUGCCCCCCCCAAAAAAAGAAUCAUGGGAACUGUAGUUUGUUAAGGGUAUUUUGAAUUGUAGCUCGGGGGGGGGGUAAACUACAGUUCCUAGGACUCUUGCCCGAAAGCCAUGUGCUUAGAACGGCUGGUGUUUUGGACAGCUGCUCCCAGUCAAAACAGACAACACAGGGCUAGAGGUGAGUGAAAGGCAGUUUCUUCUAUUCCCAGCUGAAAAGCUGAAUUAUGCAUAGACAAAAUAUUCCCCGUGGAAACUGGCCGCUGUACAGCAGAGCAAAUUCUCUCACCUUGGGGUGAGAGACUGCAGGCCUUGCUGAACAUCUUCAUCCACAGCAUCAAACUGGGAAGGCCACCUGCUGUUCCAUGUAGACAUUUCGCCCGCUCCUGUUUCUUCUCUUCCCUUCCUUUUCGCCGCCAAAGGAAGUGUAGUGGCAGCAGAGUUCUCUCCCUCCCUCCCUCCCUCCCCCCCCUCUCUAUCUCUGUGUGUGUCAUCAACAAGUGUGCACUCCAAAAAGGGACCAAAAGAGUCUGAAGCAGAGACCAGCGGAAGAUCCUGCGCUGCCGAAUCCAGGGCACCCCAAACGCCGGAAUUGAUGCCAUUAUAAAGAAGAAGAAUAGUAGUUUGGAUUUGAUAUCCCACUUUAUCACUACCUGAAGGAGUCUCAAAGGGGCUAACAUUCUCCUUUCCCUUCCUCCCCCACAACAAACACUCUGUGAGGUGAGUGGGGCUGAGAGACUUCAAAGAAGUGUGACUAGCCCAAGGUCACCAGCAGCUGCAUGUGGAGGAGCGGAGACGUGAACCCGGUUCCCCAGAUUACGAGACUACCGCUCUUAACCACUACACCACACUGGCUCCCUUAGCAAUAAAUAAAUUUCUAUGCA